AGCAGCCGCGGUAAUUCCAGCUCCAAUAGCGUAUAUUAAAGUUGUUGCAGUUAAAAAGCUCGUAGUUGAAUUUCGGGGUCUGGUUUGGCGGUCUGCCGAAAGGUGUGUAUCGCCGGCCACCGGCCCAACUUAUUUCCAAUGACUGUACGUGCUCUUCACUGAGUUGCGUACGGGACUUGGGACUUUUACUUUGAAAAAAU
rnacentral:rRNA from 1 species